CCUACGGGUGGCAGCAGUCGAGAAUCAUUCACAAUGGGGGAAACCCUGAUGGUGCGACGCCGCGUGGGGGAAUGAAGUUCUUCGGAUUGUAAACCCCUGUCAUGUGGGAGCAAAUUAAAAAGAUAGUACCACACGACGCAGAGACGGCUAACUCUGGGCCAGCAGCCGCGGUAAUACAGAGGUCUCAAGCGUGGUUCGGAAUCACUGGGCGUAACGGGUGCGUAGGCGGUUUCGUAAGUCGUGGGUGAAAGGCGCGGGCUCAACCCGCGGACGGCACAUGAUACUGCGAGACUAGAGUGAGGGAGGGGGAACCGGAAUGCUCGGUGUAGCAGUGAAAUGCGUAGAUAUCGAGAGGAACACUCGUGGCGAAGGCGGGUUCCUGGACAGUAACUGACGCUGAGGCACGAAGGCCAGGGGAGCGAAAGGGAUUAGAUACCCGUGUAGUC
rnacentral:rRNA from 1 species